UUUUUUUUUUUUUAAUUUGCACCUCAACUCUUUUACAAGUUGGGGAUAUUUACUGCAAAUAGUGUUUAAAAAAGCCCCAUGAGGAGAUAAGAGAUGGUAAACAGAGAUUCAAAGGGAAUGAGAGCAGUGAGCUCCUCCAGAGGACUCUGUGCUGUGCAUGCAGGGACAGAGCAGGGAGAGGGAAUGCUGCAUCCCAUUCCUGACAGAGGCAAGCACAGCCCUUCACUUACAGGCACCAGGAAAAGUGGCAAAUUUAGCUUCAUAUCAAAAUUAUCUUCUUGGGAUGGUUGGAAAGUUGGGGGGGAAUUGGGAGGGUGCUGGGGUAAAAGUGGGCUGUGCAUCCAUGGGGACACUCAGGUGAGGGAGGGGACACCCUGCCCUGCUGCUCCAGCACCCCCAGAGCAGCAGCUCCUCACAGCCCAUCCCCACCAAUUCCAUGUAAAUAAAUAUAUAUACAUACACAUGUGUGUGUAUAUAUGUGUGUGCAUCUCCAAAUUGUGUUUGUGCAUGGGCCCCUGGAAAUCCCCGCUGAGCUUGGCUGAGCACAGGGCAGGGAGCACCAGCCACCUCCUCCUGCUCUGCCAGACUGCUGGAUCUGCCCUAACUGACACCAAAAAUGGGGGGAAAAGCAUUUUGCAUCAGACAAACCCCUGAGUUUUUCCACAAAAGGGCUGUGAAUGAGAAAAAAACCCAAACCAAACCACAACAAAAUACCAGGGUGUUUUCAUUACUAUAACUCAGUGGUUCAGUAUUUAGAUAUCUAUUUGUACAUUAACAUUGAAAUAUCAUGGCUUGAAGCAAGUUAAUUAGAUGUAAUAGCUGAUAUUUGUGCUACAAAACACAUAUGUGUUUUACAUAUUAAAUAUAUAUAAUUACAAGUAUGUUUUCUAGAUCAAACAUGAGCCACAAGUCAAUGUUUUGUAUUAAUGUCAUAGCUUUAAAUUACAUAUGAUUUGGACCAAUAAAUGGUGCAAACAGUGCAAACAGCAUCUAUCUAUUUAUCUAUUGCUUUUUAGGUUUACACAUAGAUUCAGACACCAAUAUAUCUAUCUAUGGAUGUGCAGUGUGUACACGAGCUGGGCACUGCUGUGCCCGGCCACUGCUCCUCUCCCUGCAGGCUCUGGGCUGGGUUUGCUUUCUUUCAUUGUCUUCUUCUCCAUUUAUUUUCUUUUUGCAGGACUUAAUUAUUAUAAUCCUUCAUGGAAAAAAAAAAAAAAAAAAA
rnacentral:lncRNA from 1 species